UUCCUACGGGAGGCAGCAGUGGGGAAUAUUGCGCAAUGGGCGAAAGCCUGACGCAGCAACGCCGCGUGCGGGGUGACGGCCUUCGGGUUGUAAACCGCUUUCAGCAGGGACGAAGGGUUUCUGACGGUACCUGCAGAAGAAGCACCGGCUAACUACGUGCCAGCAGCCGCGGUGAUACGUAGGGUGCGAGCGUUGUCCGGAAUUAUUGGGCGUAAAGAGCUUGUAGGCGGUCCGUUGUCGCGUCGGAAGUGAAAACUCAGGGCUUAACCCUGAGCCUGCUUUCGAUACGGGCGGACUUGAGGGAUGUAGGGGAGAACGGAAUUCCUGGUGGAGCGGUGGAAUGCGCAGAUAUCAGGAGGAACACCAGUGGCGAAGGCGGUUCUCUGGACAUUUCCUGACGCUGAGAAGCGAAAGCGUGGGGAGCAAACAGGCUUAGAUACCCUGGUAGUCCACGCCGUAAACGGUGGGCACUAGGUGUGGGAUCCAUUCCACGGAUUCCGUGCCGAAGCUAACGCAUUAAGUGCCCCGCCUGGGGAGUACGGCCGCAAGGCUAAAACUCAAAGGAAUUGACGGA
rnacentral:rRNA from 1 species